UACUGGAAGUUAAGACAUCCUUCUCUUAGUAUAUUUUCUUCUCAUAGACAAGUCACUGUGCUGUGAGAUACCACAUCGAGAAGCCAUAUGAAGGAGAACUGAGGUAUAUGGGUCAGUGAUGCUUGCUGAGAAGGCACCAGACAGCCAGAAUUUACCAAAGAAGUCAGAUAACUGCAACUCCAGAUGACAUAAGGGACAGAAGAACCACUCACUAAAGAAGAAAAUUUGGAAGGGGUAUGUGUCUGUCAUUGCAGAUGGAUCCACUGAAACAUCAUGGAUUCCUCUUUGGCUCCUCCAGCCCUGGGCCAUCAAGGACACUCUGGAAGUCACCAGAAAGAUAGCAAACCUCCCUCCAGCUAAGCGGCAAAAGGAGAUAUCGAUCAUAUCACCAGAAGUGAAGUCUGCCCACCUGGGACCAAGUUACAGCUCUAUGCACCAAGGGAGAAGUUAUUUUACUAAUGACUCUGUGUUUCUGACUGGACCUUGAGACCAUAAAAGACUCAUUCAUCCAUCUGAAGAAGGGACUGCAUUUAAUUUUUCCUUGGGAUUUGAAUCACUUGCCAUUUGCAUAGGCCAUCAUAACACUUGUAUUCCUAUUAAAGGCAAAUAUGGGCUUAUGAUCUAUAAGAUAUCAGAACUACUAAUCAUAUGGGUCUCUUUUCAAGCUAGUCUCUAGAUUUUUCUGAUCAAUAUGAUGUAACUAAUAGUACAGGACAUAGUUUGUAUCUCUAUGCUUGGUGCUUCUUGGUGGCAGAGUAUUACACACAAUGCUUUCACUGUUCUAAUAUCAUUUGCUUGCUUAUAGGAUACCCAUCAAAUGACAACUAGAUUUAUCUAUAACAUCUCAAAUCAAAACCACUUUGCAUAUCCUGCAAUCAAAAACUAAAAAGGGGUGAGACAGAUGUCGCAACAUGAUCCAAGAAUGGAGUCAUGUGAGGGGAAUUCUGGGUGCUUGUGAGAAAACUCCAAGAAAACAAGAAUUUGUGACUCUAGUUUCUUCACAACACAGAAUUGUUCUUGGAAUGUAUUUUUGUGUUCCUCCCAUGUGUAGCAAAUAGGAGUGAGUUUACUUCAGGUGUUGUUAUUCAUAUGCCUCUAUGAGAAAAUAUGUGUUUUUAUUUUUGCCAUGUGUGGCUUGUCCUUGUGGUUGUAUACUUUACUCAGGUGAUUCUUCCUAACUCUCAGAGUAUAAAUUAUCUGAUGUGCUGAAUAAAGCUGACUAAUGCAUGCGA